rnacentral:rRNA from 1 species
AUUGAACGCUGGCGGCAGGCCUAACACAUGCAAGUCGAGCGAGCGGCGGACGGGUGAGUAAUGUCUGGGAAACUGCCUGAUGGAGGGGGAUAACUACUGGAAACGGUAGCUAAUACCGCAUACCAUCAGAUGUGCCCAGAUGGGAUUAGCUGGUCGGUGGGGUAACGGGUCACCUAGGCGACGAUCCCUAGCUGGUCUGCGAGGAUGUCCAGCCCCGCUGAAACUGAGACACGGUCCAGAGUCCUACGGGGUGCAGCAGUGUGGAAUAUUGCACAAAGGGCGCAAGCCUGCUGCAUCGAUGCCGCGUGUGUGAGUAAGGCCUUCGGGUUGUAAAGCACUUAAAGCGGUGAGGCGUUACCCGAAGAAGAAGCACCGGCUAACUCCGUGCCAGCGGCCGCGGUAAUAC